GAUGAAGAACGCAGCGAAAUGCGAUAAGUAAUGUGAAUUGCAGAAUUCAGUGAAUCAUCGAAUCUUUGAACGCACAUUGCGCCCGGCAGCAAUCUGCCGGGCAUGCCUGUCCGAGCGUCAUUUCUCCCCUCGAGCGCUGCCGUCCCCCCCGGGGGCCGGCAGCCGCCCGGCGUUGGGGCCCUGCGGGCGCGAGCCCGCAGCCCCCGAAAUGAAGUGGCGGCCCCGCCGCGGCGCCCCCUGCGUAGUAGUUUCUAUCUCGCAUCGGGACCCGGCGAAGGCCAGCCGUCGAACCCUUUUUCUAUGGUUUGACCUCGGAUCAGGUAGGGUUACCCGCUGAACUUAAGCAUAUCAAUAAGCGGAGGA
rnacentral:misc_RNA from 1 species